GUGCUCACUUUGGCAGCGCAUAUACUAAACCUGGAAUGAUACAGAGAAGAUUAGCAUGGCCCCUGUGCAAGGAUGACACACAAAUUGGUGAAGUAUUCCAUAUUUUU
rnacentral:snRNA from 1 species